UUUUACCAUUCUCUUAUUUAUUUAUUUAUUUAUGUUUUAAAGAUUUCAUUUUUUCCUUCUUCUCCCCAAAGUCCCCCGGUACAUAGUUGUAUGUUCUUCGUUGUGGGUCCUUCAUAGUUGUGGCAUGUGGGACACUGCCUCAGCGUGGUUCGAUGAGUCAUGCCAUGUCGGCACCCAGGAUUCGAACCAACGAAACACUGGGCCACAUGCAGCGGAGCGCGUGACCUUAACCACUCGCCCACGGGGCCAGCCCCUACCAUUCUCUUUCUACGAUUUCUUUUUACUUUUUGACAUCUGUUUCUACACUACUUCUGGACUGAGACAAAACAGUCACCUCAAACUCAUGAUGACUCAAUUUUUUUUCCCUUGAAAAAUCUCAAGUAACAUUUAGAAGUUAGUGAUUAUUCUUUACAGACACGUUUGUGUCUUCAAAGAGCACCACUGAAGGCACAAACCAAGUUUUCUUUCAACCAAUAAGUAAUUUUUAUUUCAAGGGUUCGAUGUCCACAUCAAAUAAUCAUCUAUUGAUGUGGAUGUGUGUGUGUAAUAGUUAAGAAUGUGACCUAAAUUACCUUCGUCAAGUCUGGCUCAAAACUGGUGUGACUUUGGGCAAAUUACCUAACCUUUCUUUGUCUUCUUCUUCUCAUCUUUAAAAUGGCAAAAAACAAUAGUACCUAUCUCAGAGGGUUCCUGGGAAGAUGAAUCAAGUCAAUACCCGGAAAGUACAUGGAAUGGUGCCUGGUUCAGAGAUUCUCUUGGUAAACAUGUGGCAAACGUCCAAUGACUCUAACUUUCUAAAUUUGAGAAAUGAUUUUUCAAAGAGCAUUUCUAGCACCCGAGUAAGCAGACUCCUGCAAGGAGAUUGGAUUUUAAGAAAAGCACAUGACUACGUGAUGGAGCAACAAGGGAGCCUGAUUUUCGUGAUUCCAAAUUCUGUCUUCCUGGACUCUGAACCUCAUUGUUUCUCUUACUUUGAAGAAAAGAUUGUUAAAAAUCCUCAAAUUACUGCAUAAACACUAAUUUUGCCUAUUUAUUCCCAUAAUAUAAAAAGCUCUGAAAUGGAUUUAGUUUUCUAUCUCUUUUCUACAUAGGAAGCUUAAUUAACUGGCAGAGAACGAAGAAAUAUAUUUUCUCCUAAGUACAUAUUGUUGUUAGAUGAAUGGCUAAACAGGGUUUAAAUAUAGCAAAAGAGAUCUCGUUCCUAAAAAGAAGUUGCUAUGCUUUUCACUGCUUUUUUGUUUUUUGCUCCCUACUGGGCAAAGAUGUUCUAAAUCUACUG
rnacentral:lncRNA from 1 species